rnacentral:rRNA from 1 species
CAGUAGCCGCGGGAAUACGAAGGGGGCUAGCGUUGCUCGGAAUGACUGGGCGUAAAGGGCGCGUAGGCGGAUUGCGCAGUCAGAUGUGAAAUUCCUGGGCUUAACCUGGGGGCUGCAUUUGAGACGCGUAGUCUAGAGUGUGAAAGAGGGUUGUGGAAUUCCCAGUGUAGAGGUGAAAUUCGUAGAUAUUGGGAAGAACAUCAGUGGCGAAGGCGGCUCACUGGCCCAUAACUGACGCUGAGGCACGAAAGCGUGGGGAGCAGACAGGAUUAGAUACCCCAGUAGUCCCUGUCUCUUAUAC